CCGUGGGUGCGGCCCUAAAAGAAAAAGAAAAAGACAAACAUACAGAGGAAAGGAAGAUGGCUUCCACUUGGGCUGAAGAAACUUCCUGACAGAGAGGAGCAAGACGCUCAAUAGAAAGCUAUUUUUAAAAACGGUUUGCUUCGGGGCUGUAACAUUCAAGGUGUGACUUAAUAACGAAAGAAAUGGAGCCGCAGCUGGCGGCGUUUCAGUGGGUGUCGGGGCCCCGCAGGGCCUGAGGAGCAGGGUUUUGCGGUUCUCUGCACAACAACCUUUGGUUGUUGUGGCCCCUUCGUCCCACCCCCGGGGGGGCGGGGGGGACAGGCUGGGAGCUCAGAGUGUCUGGAUGACAGUUCCUGCUCCCACCCCAAGGGCUUUUCGCACUGGCUCGCAGUCACACCCGUCCGUAAGUCAAAGCAACGGGAGGGGAUGAAGGGACAGAGGCGAGCGGGUGCAGGACAGACAGACACCUCCUGGCCCUGCUAAUUGGACGGCUCUUCUCAUCCCGGUCAGCUUCUGCGCUUUGUCUGAGCGGACGAGAUAAGAGGGAUGCUGGGGUUUCCUAACAAGCUGCCUGGCACGGCCACACGGUCACUUCGAAGGGACCAGCCUCUGCAGGAAUCCUUGUCUGUUUGGCAGGAGAAUCCACCCCCCCACCCCCAACCCCUGCCCCGGCAUGAGGUCCCGAGGAAGGCUGGGGGUGCUUGCAGCCCCCUGAAAUCUGGCUGAGGAGGCCGCCGAGAGUGGGGCUGCCUCAGCUCCUUUGCUGGGAAAGAGUGUCUCCUUCCAGCGGCUGCCCUGUGUGCUCAUCAGAACGAGGAAAGCGCCGGCCGGCCGGUCACCUCCGAAGCCCCAGCAGCCCUCGCAGCACAAAAGAUGCAUCCGUGAUCCAGGGCCAGGGACUCGUUUUAGUGCAGGCUUGGAAAUUAUCAACAUCCAAUCAAGCCACAUACAUUGUGUCCUUCUUCGUGUCUUUUCAUCAGAAAGACUUGAAAAAACAAAACCAAAAACAAAUGAGGAUGUCUGAGCACUUAGGGUUUUUUUUUAAUGUAGAGAAAGAAUACCAAAAAGCAGCACGUCCACAAAUUUGAAAAUUCAAGCAAGAAAAUGCCUACUUAAAAAUGUUAAAGCCCCCAGAUAACAGUCCAAACCAAACCGAACCUGUAUCAUUGAUAACAGGUCCCCUCCAUCCGAAUAUAAAAACGAUUACAUGUCGUAUUGACAUUCGGGUGAAAUCUUUCCCUUAUAAGGGGUCUGACAUAAAUAGUUUUUAUUAUGUAACUCUAAAUGGAAGAAAUACACACAUUUCUUAAAGGUCCCAGCUGCUAUUGUUAUCAUCUGAGACAUAAAAUUGGAAUCCCAACUUCCAAUAUCAAAUUUUAGCACAAACCCUAUAAAAUGUAUCUUGUCAGAAUGUGUCAGAACCGCUAAGCUCUUUGCAGCUGAACAGGCUGCAGCUGGUGCUUCGUCCUUAAGGCUGAGCAUCAACUCUGUGUGUCCUCGGGGGCUGAGGCAGUAAAUUGGUCGUUUUCCCCCUGCCUCUGGGCUGGCCCGGGAAGCCGCGGGGUUAGAGGCGCUUCGUCCCCGAGGCUGGUCUGGGUGACACGAGCCUGCGGGGCCGAGCCCGAGGCCUGGAGAUAGGACCCGCCAGCAAGUAUGCAAGGAAUGUUUUUCUUCGGAUUCUACCGAGGCGCACGGGCCAUGGGGAUCCUGUCUGCGGUGACAGCCCUAACAUUUGCCAGAGCCCUGGACGCUGCUGCAGAAAUGGCAUUGCCCACCCGGAAAGUGAGAAGAUCGUGUAAGGAGGCCAAAGGAUGGUUUUCCGAGGCAUUUCGUCAAGGGGAGAGAAACGGCUGCUUGGAAAUGAGCUCUUAGAGUCAGCCCGGCACUCACUCUCGGGAUCAGUACCAGAGGACACCAGAUGUCUACAUGCAGAAGAAAAAAAUCAUUUGGAGUAGAAAAGCCCACCCCUUCCCCACACCCGAUGCGUGCCUUAACCUACUCGAGACUGUGUGUCACCUAUAUGGGAAAAGAAUCGCGUGUUUCCGUGUGUGUGUACAACUGACUCACUUUGCUGUACACCUGAAACUAACACAUUGUAAGCCAACUCCACUCCACAAAAGAAAAAGAAAGUGGUCUUAGACGAUUCAGCCCACAGCAGGAGCAAUCGAAAGAUGCUUCGAAAACACAGAUGGGGAAAGUGAGGCACGCAGCCCAGAUGUGAACCCAUCUGUAGAGGCUCUGCCAGUCGGACACGAGAGGCGAGGCUGGUGGUGCUGAACGGCAAGAUGCGACUCUGCUGCUGAGGAGCCUUUCUGAGAUGCGGCCCCGCCAGCUCUGCCGGUCUCUGCAAGUGGCCUUCCUGUCCUGCUUCCCUCUCCCUAGGCGGGAGUGUCCGUGGGUAUUGCUGCCCACUCCCUCCUGCACCCGUUCCAGGGCCCAGCCCCGGGCUUCUGAACUGGGAGGAGCUGGGCUCUGCUGGUUCUCAGGGAAGAGCAGAGCCUUUUCUCGAAAUGCCAAGCUGCUCUUUGCUGGGACAAACACUGGAGCUGACAUGAGAGGCAAGCGGGGCAGGCUUGGGAAAGCAGCAGGACCCCUAGGACGGGGAGGACUCUCAGCUCCGGCUUCUCUACAAGGCGGUGGGAAGACAUGUCAUCCCCCACCCCCUCGACCCCUUCAGCAGAGACCUGAUGGCGUCUGCGGAGACAGGGGCAGUGGUUUCUGCAGGGCCGAGCUCCCAGCAGCCCUGGGGUCCAGGGGCCCUGUCCCGGUUCUCCAAGGGUCCAGGAGACGUUGCCCUAGCCCCCCUCCCCAACUCCUCUGAGCCUUACCAUCCUGCCAAUCUCAGCUCUGGGAGGAUUACAGGAGGCAAAGCUCCCUGCGUCUAAAGACCGGCCCAGAGCCUUCCAGAACCUUCCACAGAGUCAUCACAAUGAAAAGCAAAGAGCACGAGUGGGGCUCUCACCCAUAAACAUCCUCACGCCAACCAGAGCAGGAGGCACCACUGUGAACCCAUUGUUCAGAGGCAAAGACCGAGGCAUGGAGGGGUCAUGAAAUUUAACACAGGGCACACCUGGAGCUUUCAACAGCCUGAGAUUUGAACCCUGGCUGCCAGCCUGAAGGGCCAUUAACCAUCAGCUUGUGCCGUCUCUCCAGGCGCUCAAGAGAUGGGAGCGAUGGUUAUUACAGGGUUUUGGUCAAAGGUAAUUGUUUUAUCUCAAAGACACUUUUGAGGUCACUGCAGAGUCACAAGCAAUUUUAAGGAAAUCCCGCGGAGGGAUCCCUGCACUUUCCUCCAGCUCAUCCUAAUGGGACACCUGGCACAGCUACAGAACAAUGUCACCCCCGGAAAAGGCCACGGAUCCAGCCCACCCAUGGGACUCGUGCGAAGCGGCAAAAAGCAACGUGACGGGCUGCACGGGACACAGACCGUGUCUGCCCAACCUGUGCCCUCCGCCCUCCGCCUCUCACCCUCGUCCCUUUCUGCCUUCUGCUCAGCACUACCUGACACUGUAUCUGGAGUUUAUACGCCGCCCCCCCGCCGAAAAGUAACUUCCAUGAGGUCAACGAUCUUUGUCUACCGAGUUCGCAGAGGGAGCCCCAGCACCUAGAACAGUGCCUCGUGUAUAUGGCUUUAGUGUUUUUAAAUGGAUGCACGAAUGCACGGUGAUUUUUCAGAGAGCUAUGCAAACUUUCCGAACUCCCUUUAAAAAAUCUGCAGGAGUUCCCGUUGUAGCUCAGUAGUAAGGAACCUGAUUAGUAUCCUUGAGGACGCGGGUUCGACCUCUGGUCUCGCUCCGUGGGUUAAGGAUCCUGCAUUGCUAUGGCUGUGGUGUAGGCCAGCAGCUGUAGCUCCCAUUUAGCCCCCAGCCUGGGAACCUCCAUGUGCUGCUGGUGUGGCCCUGAAGGAAAAAAGUCUGCAGAAUGGGCCGAGUGCUCCCCACUACAGGGUAUGGCGAGGUUCAGGCAACGCGAUGCUGGUCGAGUGUCCCCACAUGGGGUCCAGUGGGGUCAUGGCACAACUGGCCAAGCUGUGCGUCCUUCCCAGAUGCCCAGGGCAGCCCUCCCACCCCUGCAUCUCCAGCCCUUCGGGAAGCUGCCGCCUGCCCUCCGGGGUCUCUGGGGUUUGUCUGCCCCUUAAUGGCCUGUGAUCUUUCAGCAGUUAAGAGCAUCGCUAAUAAGAGAUUUAAGCACAGUUUGUGUCACUUGAAGGAGCCUGGGUUUCUGGAGGGUGGCGUGGGUCUUAAGGACUGAGUGUGAAGUCUCUGCUAAUUGUGCUGACUUGAAAUAAUAAACAGCUUCACACCCUC